AUGAACGCUAGCGGCAGGCUUAAUACAUGCAAGUCGAACGGUGUCUUCGGACAUAGUGGCGCACGGGUGCGUAACACGUAUGCAACCUACCUUACAUUGGGGGAUAGCCUUUCGAAAGGGAGAUUAAUACCGCAUAAGACAGUAGCUGGGCAUCCAGCAGCUGUUAAAGAUUUAUCGAUGUAAGCUGGGCAUGCGUCCAAUUAGCUAGUUGGUGAGGUAACGGCUCACCAAGGCUAUGAUUGGUAGGGGAACUGAGAGGUCAAUCCCCCACACUGGCACUGAGAUACGGGCCAGACUCCUACGGGAGGCAGCAGUAGGGAAUAUUGGGCAAUGGACGCAAGUCUGACCCAGCCAUGCCGCGUGCAGGAUGAAGGCGUUAUGCGUUAUAAACUGCUUUUAUACAGGAAGAAACGACUCUUGCGAGAGGCAUUGACGGUACUGUAUGAAUAAGCACCGGCUAACUCCGUG
rnacentral:rRNA from 1 species